GAUAAACGCUGGCGGCGUGCCUUACACAUGCAAGUCGAGCGGGGCGCCAGGCUUCGGCCUGGAGCCUAGCGGCGAACGGGUGAGUAACACGUGGGUGACCUGCCCGGAAGUGGGGGAUAACCCCGGGAAACCGGGGCUAAUACCGCAUGUGGUCACCGGGGACGGCCCGGUGAUUAAAGCCGCAAGGCGCUUCCGGAGGGGCCCGCGGCCUAUCAGCUAGUUGGUGGGGUAACGGCCCACCAAGGCGACGACGGGUAGCUGGUCUGAGAGGACGGCC
rnacentral:rRNA from 1 species